rnacentral:rRNA from 1 species
AGCGAACGCUGGCGGCAGGCCUAAUACAUGCAAGUCGAACGGCUCUUCGGAGCAGUGGCGGACGGGUGGCGAACGGGUGAGUAAUGCAUCGGAACGUGCCCAGUCGUGGGGGGUAACGCAGCGAAAGCUGUGCUAAUACCGCAUACGAUCUAUGGAUGAAAGCGGGGGACCGUAAGGCCUCGCGCGAUUGGAGCGGCCGAUGUCAGAUUAGGUAGUUGGUGGGGUAAAGGCUCACCAAGCCAACGAUCUGUAGCUGGUCUGAGAGGACGACCAGCCACACUGGGACUGAGACACGGCCCAAACUCCUACGGGAGGCAGCAGUGAGGAAUUUUGGACAAUGGGCGCAAGCCGGAUCCAGCAAUGCCGCGUGCAGGAAGAAGGCCUUCGGGUUGUAAACUGCUUUUGUACGGAACGAAACGAUCUGGGUUAAUACCCUGGGCUAAUGACGGUACCGUAAGAAUAAGCACCGGCUAACUACGUGCCAGCCGCCGCGGUAAAAC